AGAGUUUGAUCCUGGCUCAGAGUGAACGCUGGCGGCGUGCCUAACACAUGCAAGUCGAACGAGAACGGGUUACAGUUUACUGUAACUGUCAGCUAAGUGGCGCACGGGUGAGUAAUAUAUAGUUAACCUGCCCCAAAGAAGAGAAUAAUUGUUGGAAACGACUUGUAAUGCUCUAUAUGCCUUUAUCACAUAAGUGAGCAAGGGAAAUAUUUAUAGCUUUGGGAUGGGACUGUACGGUAUCAGUUUGUUGGUGAGGUAAUGGCUCACCAAGACUAUGACGCCUAACUGGUUUGAGAGGAUGAUCAGUCACACUGGAACUGAGACACGGUCCAGACUCCUACGGGAGGCAGCAGUGGGGAAUAUUGCACAAUGGACGAAAGUCUGAUGCAGCAACGCCGCGUGGAGGAUGACACAUUUCGGUGCGUAAACUCCUUUUAUAUGAGAAGAUAAUGACGGUAUCAUAUGAAUAAGCACCGGCUAACUCCGUGCCAGCAGCCGCGGUAAUACGGGGGGUGCAAGCGUUAAUCGGAAUUACUGGGCGUAA
rnacentral:rRNA from 1 species